ACGAACGCUGGCGGCAUGCCUAACACAUGCAAGUCGAACGAAGCCCCCGACUUCGGUUGGGUGCUUAGUGGCGCACGGGUGCGUAACGCGUGGGAAUCUGCCCUUCGGUUCGGAACAACAGUUAGAAAUGACUGCUAAUACCGGAUAAUGACGUAAGUCCAAAGAUUUAUCGCCGAAGGAUGAGCCCGCGUAGGAUUAGCUAGUUGGUAAGGUAAAAGCUUACCAAGGCGACGAUCCUUAGCUGGUCUGAGAGGAUGAUCAGCCACACUGGGACUGAGACACGGCCCAGACUCCUACGGGAGGCAGCAGUGGGGAAUAUUGGACAAUGGGCGAAAGCCUGAUCCAGCAAUGCCGCGUGAGUGAUGAAGGCCCUAGGGUUGUAAAGCUCUUUUACCCGGGAUGAUAAUGACAGUACCGGGAGAAUAAGCUCCGGCUAACUCCGU
rnacentral:rRNA from 1 species